rnacentral:rRNA from 1 species
CGCACUAGUGAUUAGAGUUUGAUCCUGGCUCAGAUUGAACGCUGGCGGCAUGCUUUACACAUGCAAGUCGAACGGGGUGAGGGGGCAACUCUUCAUUCAGUGGCGAACGGGUGAGUAAUGCAUCGGAACGUGUCCCGUAGUGGGGGAUAACGCCGCGAAAGCGGCGCUAAUACCGCAUACGCUCUACGGAGGAAAGCAGGGGACCUGAGAGGGCCUUGUGCUAGGGGGGCGGCCGAUGUCCGAUUAGCUAGUUGGUGGGGUAAUGGCCUACCAAGGCGACGAUCGGUAGCUGGUCUGAGAGGAUGAUCAGCCACACUGGGACUGAGACACGGCCCAGACUCCUACGGGAGGCAGCAGUGGGGAAUUUUGGACAAUGGGGGCAACCCUGAUCCAGCCAUGCCGCGUGCGGGAAGAAGGCCUUCGGGUUGUAAACCGCUUUUAGCCGGGAAGAAAAGGCGCGGGCGAAUACCUCGUGUUUUUGACGGUACCGGCGGAAUAAGCACCGGCUAACUACGUGCCAGCAGCCGCGGUAAUACGUAGGGUGCGAGCGUUAAUCGGAAUUACUGGGCGUAAAGCGUGCGCAGGCGGUUCGUUGUGUCGGCGGUGAAAGCCCCGGGCUUAACCUGGGAACGGCCGUU